ensembl:lncRNA
GGUGAGGGCAGGGUUUGCAAUGGGUCACAAUGGGCUCUCCACUCAUCUAUCCCCAUAGGACAUCCAGCCCCUACUGCCCCCAAAACAAAGUCCGUCUGAUAGUGCAGGCAGUUAUAGUGGAUACCAGCAUUCUUACAACAUGAGCCCAGAGAGUUCAAACAGUUUCCAAGAAGCCUCACAACCAUUUUGAUAUCCUCACCUCUGGAUAAGACAAGAAUACUUUGUGGUGGAAAAGAGCUCUCCCUUCAUAGGAAUGAUUGCUACUGGAGGAGAAUCGUGAGAAGAACAUGGCGAGAUACGAUUCCCACCAGUGCUUGUUUGCACAGAUGGACUGCAGUCCUCAGAGAUACAAGCAAGCAGAUAGAAGAGAGAAAUGUGUCCUAUUAGGGCGUCAAAGGACCCAGACUACAUUAUCUGACAUACAAAGGAGGGCAAACUCCUCGUGAGGCAAUCGCUGUUACUGAAUGAAAGCAACUCUCUGAGCACACAAAGAAAGGAAGACCUUCUACCUGCACCACAACACAACUGAGGUCAAAGAAAGGAAAUACUGGAGGCUGGAUGAGGGAGCCAUGCAGUGGACUCCAGAUGUUCAAGAGUAGUUGGUAGAAGAAUGUCAAGAUUGACAACAGUGACGACGGGUCAGCUCCACUGGUGCAAACUUUUACAAGUGCAGCAUGCAGGCUCUUGUUCAUCAUUGGCAAAAAAGCAUAGCUAAUGGUGGCAACUAUGUUGAAUUAUAGUGUUUUGUAUCUGAAAUAUGCUCUAUCAAAAGGUGUUAUUGCGCUCUUUGUAUUAAUGGUAGUUCCCAUGGAAAUAAAUAGAAGUCAUUACUUUCAGAGCAACCUACGAAUGAAGAUUUAGCUUUUCUAAUAAAAAAAUAAAUCAGCCAACCUUUUGGAACAUAACUGUAUCAUGAGCUGUGUCAUGAACAACUGCGACAGUUCCCAACUGCUGGGAAAAAUGAAAAAUACUUAAUUAUACUUUCCAGGUCUCAAGGAGGGCUGGUGAGCAGUUCUCAUUUCCAUUAAGAAGUUGAGCUUAUGUGGAAAACCAUAUACACCCCUGGGGAAUGAUAAGUAUCCAAAAUAGGACAUAAUUUGUGUAUAUAAAAUAAUUUUCAUGAAGAUAUUUUGGGUUGUUGGUUUUUUUUGUUUGUUUGUUUUCUUUUCCUAUGCUGUUGGUCUGUUUGUUUCUGAGGGAAGCCAUUUCCAACGUAUAAUGGAUAUCUCAUAAGGGGAUUUAUUUUAAUGACAAGAAAUGUAAGGGGGAAAAAAGGCUGUUUUAGAGACUCUUUUUGCGGGGGUAAAAGCCAUGUGAAAUGAUUGAAAAUAAAUGUCUCAUUUUUAUGUGGCAGUUCAAUCACUGUUCUGUAGCCUAGCUUAUCACAGGCAGCAAAGAACCCUUCUAUAAACAGAAUUUUCUACUUUCUACUGCUCUCCCCGUGCACAGAUAUAUCAACAAACUUUCUUUCUGCUCAAAUAUGCCUCAAAUGCCCCAGUCCCACAGCUCCAUGUCCCACACUGUGCUGUGCUGUGCUGUGCUGAAGGAAGUGCCCACCAGCCACCCCCAAAGCUCUGCUUUAAGCAUUGGGAGAGGUUCUUUC